CCCAGAGUGGAUCCGUCCGGCAGAACAGAACAUCUUGAAAAGACUACUCUGCAAGAACCCUGAGUUACGGCUUCGUUCACCAACAGAAAUAAGAGCUCAUCCUUUCUUCUGUUCUGUUGUGUGGGAAGAUCUGGAAGCCGGCCGGGUAGAUCCCCCAUCAUCAGUUGUAGUCAAAACACCUCUGGACAACAGAGAGAAGUCUUUCUUACUAUCGCUGGAUAAAGCUGAUCAGGUCAUAUCUCCUGAAGAUCAGAAGCUGUUCAGUGGCUUCUCAUUUGUGAGUCCAUUACCGAUCACCAAGGUGUAAAGAUGCAUUCUCUGCCACACUAAAGUGUUUAGACGAUCAUCCAUAGCCUUGAUCAUAAUCCAAGGAUAACAUCUUCCUCCGAAC